rnacentral:rRNA from 1 species
UACGGAGGAUGCAAGGGUUAUCCGGAAUGAUUGGGCGUAAAGCGUCCGCAGGUGGCUGUGUAAGUCUGCUGUCAAAGAGCGAAGCUCAACUUCGUAAAGGCAGUGGAAACUACACGGCUAGAGUGCGUUCGGGGCAGAGGGAAUUCCUGGUGUAGCGGUGAAAUGCGUAGAGAUCAGGAAGAACACCGGUGGCGAAGGCGCUCUGCUAGGCCGCAACUGACACUGAGGGACGAAAGCUAGGGGAGCGAAUGGG